CCUGGGCCUGCCAGAUCUCCUGGGGGUUGCGGGUGGGGGCUUGGUCUGUUCACCCAAUUGUCAAGGUGGGGCCCCAAAACAUUUAUUCAUUCAGCAAAUACUGACGGGUACUCACUUUGUGCAGGGAAAUCUUCCAGUCUUGGGGACACAGCAGUAACCAAGAUGAUCAAAUUCUCAAGGCUAUGAGACUUCCAUUCUGAUUGGGGCAGAGGCAGUAGAUAUACAAUGAUGCAAGUAAACAAACAACACGGUCUCAGUCUGUGAUAUGUGCCAGAAAGAAGACGAAAUGAGGACGGAAUGGCCCAACAUCUACUCAUUCUUCAAGGACAGCUCAGAUCUCCCCACUCCGUGAGACCUUCCCCGGCUCUGCUACAAGCAAACAGCCUCCUACCGGCUCCCAGGACUACGGGGCCUCCCCACACCGUGUGCACAGGUGGCCUCCACUCAGAUCUUGCUCCCUCCACAUUGACUGGUGAUGGCAGACGGCUCCGACUGUGGGCUCUCUGGCAUACCUCUCUGCACCCUGGACGCUACCAUACACUCCAGCGGAACGAUGAUCUUGUCAGGCUUGGUUCGCUGUGCACACCGAGCCCCUCACUCAGUGCCUGGCAUACAGUAGGAGCUUACUAAACAGCUGUCAGCCGCUGAAACCCAAGAUCAGGUCCACAUCUGUCUCGGUCCCUCCAGGACCUUGAGCCCAGUCCAGAGCCUGGUCCAGAGAAGGUGCUCAGUAAACAUCUGGAGACUGAAAGCCAAGUCACCCUGUGGAGAGCAGCGGUUUUUUCUGAGUGGACUUCAGUGGCCUUGGCUGACUCCCUUGUGGGUGUCUGCAGACCCGGCCCUCAGAGCCUCUGCGUGUUGAAGGCACACAGCACCUGCAGGGAAACAGGCCCUUGCCUCUGUCGGCUCCUCCUGCUACUGAGAGACCAGCUCAGAGGCCAGGACAGCAGCUCAGAAGGGGAGGAAAGGAACGGAGACCUGUGGGCUGGUCCUCAGUGAGGCCUGGCCCAGGAGGGAGACCCUCCCCAGCAGAUCAUGAGAGCUGUGCACCUUGCCAGGAUGGUGGCGCUCAGCAAACGCCUACCUGAGGUCAUCUGCAGAGCCCCCUCUCAGGGCAGCGAGGCAGCCUGCCAGGAUUCCCCUGCAUCAGGAGCUCUGUUUUAAAACAUCUGUUGAUCCACGUAAGAAUGAUACAGGGAAGAGGCUCUCCGAGCGCACCGAUGCUUCAAAAGGCCUCAAAAAUUAGAAUUGCUGUCACGGCCUCUGCACUUCCCAGUCCAGGCCUUUUGUUUGGGUCUCCCUAUGUGGCCACCAGGGGGGCUAAUGCCCUCCAGCCACAUGCUCAGCUUUGCUGGCCAGACAAUGGCCUCUGAAUAGGCCCAUCCAGAGUGCCCUUUUGAGUGAUAGAACCCAGUGCAACAGCGGAGACUCUAGGAAACUAAGCCUGCGGGCUCCAGGGCCUGGGGCAGGCGUUGCUCAUUGACCAGGUUUGGGUGGUGUGGGGCACACAAAGUCAGGGGGGGACACACAGCCAGGGUCCCUCCACCUUCCUUGUUAAAUAUGGAGCCACAGGCCUUGCCUAAUUAGCCGGCCCUGUUGGUACAAGGAGGAGGGGAAGCAACAGGGAAGAUAGAACAUGACCUCCAAGCCCGUGGUCAGUCCCUGGCUCCGAGGCCUUGUCCCACCUCUUGUCCAGAUUUGACACUUCCAAAGGGCUGGACAUGCAGUCCUGGACCCAUGCCAGCCUCCGAAGCUGCCUCCUUCUUGAAGAUGGUGAACCCAGCCCAAAGGUCCACCCAGCUUUCUAGAGUGAAGGGAGAGGAUUAAAGUGCUGCCCGGUGAGACCUGGAAGACCUGCUCUGCAUCCCAGGCUCACUCUUGACAUGCUGUGCGUUCCUUGGUAAGUCACUGAACCUCUCUGAGCCAAUUCCUCCUGUGAAAUGGGGGUGGUGAUAGCUAUACCUAACCUUACAGAAUUGCAACAUGGCUUUAAUGAGAUCUGGCUCAUGAAGUGCUUUGGAAGUUAAGUGGCACCCACAGGCCACCCUUACUGUCAUCUGGGCAUCAUGGUCUUCAUGGGUGCCCCAUCAGCACCAGCUGCCCGGGCAGGCACCGGGCUAGGUACUUUGCAAGUGUUUUGUCAUCUUUAUGUCUCUGCAUGGUAGGGUUCGUCCUCACCUUAUGAGGGACAGACUGAGAGCAGUGAAGGCCUGGCCCACAACCACACAGCUUCUGUAAAUCCAGACUGGCCCACGGCUUGGCCCACCCGCACCAGCAGUCUCCAUUGUCAGUUCCCUUCCAGAAACCUAUAUGGAGGCUGGGCGUGGUGACUCAUGCCUGUAAUACCAGCACUUUAAGAGGCCAAGGCAGGAGGAUUGCUUGAGGCCUGGAGCUCGAGACCAGCCUGGGCAACAUAGGGAGAACCUGUCUCUCACAAAAAAAUUUUAAAAAUUAGCCAGCAUGGUGGCACAUUCGUAUAGUCCCAGCUACUCAGGAGGCUGACAUGGGAGAAUCACUUGAGCUCAGGAGGUUGAGGCUUUAGUGAGCUAUGAUUACACCACUGCACUCCAGCCUGGGUGACAGAGUAAGACCUUGUCAAGG
rnacentral:lncRNA from 10 species